UACGUAGGGUGCGAGCGUUAAUCGGAUUUACUGGGCGUAAAGCGUGCGCAGGCGGUGAUGUAAGACAGAUGUGAAAUCCCCGGGCUCAACCUGGGACCUGCAUUUGUGACUGCAUCGCUAGAGUACGGUAGAGGGGGAUGGAAUUCCGCGUGUAGCAGUGAAAUGCGUAGAUAUGCGGAGGAACACCGAUGGCGAAGGCAAUCCCCUGGACCUGUACUGACGCUCAUGCACGAAAGCGUGGGGAGCAAACAGG
rnacentral:rRNA from 1 species